GGGAAGGGCCAUAGCUCAGUGGUACAGCAUCUGCUUUGCAUGCAAAAGGUCUCAGGUUCAGACUCUGGUGUACCCCA